rnacentral:rRNA from 1 species
CACGUAGGAUCCGAGCGUUAUCCGAAUUCACUGGGCGUAAAGCGCGUGCAGGCGGUACGGUAAGUUGGAUGUGAAAUCUCCUGGCUCAACUGGGAGGGGACGUUCAAUACUGUCGAACUAGAGGGCGGUAGAGGGAGGUGGAAUUCCCGGUGUAGUGGUGAAAUGCGUAGAUAUCGGGAGGAACACCAGAGGCGAAGGCGGCCUCCUGGACCGCACCUGACGCUCAGACGCGAAAGCUAGGGGAGCGAACGGG